GCGGCGGAAAAACUCCAUCCUCUCGUGAGGUCACCACCACCGCGAGCAGCCCGCCGUGCCCAGCGCAGCGCUCCGGCAGCGGAGGGGCAACGACGCCGGCGCCGAUCACCGCACGACCCUCACGAGGACGCCGCAGCCGAACGCAGCCGCUACGAUGCGCUUUACAUGGGCGGCGGUAACUGCGAGGAGGUGCAGUACGUAAAGUCGUGGGAGCAGCUGCAGGCCUCGGUGUUUAGUCGGCUGCGGUACAUGAGUCAGCUGAGCAAGGGCACUGCCUCCCCCUCAUCGCCGCACGCACGGCCUGCCGGCACGUCGCAGUGCACAGGCGGCUGCUCUUUGGGAGUAUUGUCGGUGUCGUCCUGUACAUUGGCG